rnacentral:rRNA from 1 species
CAACAGGGAUUGCCCUAGUAACGGCGAGUGAAGCGGCAACAGCUCAAAUUUGAAAUCUGGCGUCUUCGGCGUCCGAGUUGUAAUUUGCAGAGGGCGCUUUGGCAUUGGCAGCGGUCCAAGUUCCUUGGAACAGGACGUCACAGAGGGUGAGAAUCCCGUACGUGGUCGCUAGCCUUUACCGUGUAAAGCCCCUUCGACGAGUCGAGUUGUUUGGGAAUGCAGCUCUAAAUGGGAGGUAAAUUUCUUCUAAAGCUAAAUACUGGCCAGAGACCGAUAGCGCACAAGUAGAGUGAUCGAAAGAUGAAAAGCACUUUGGAAAGAGAGUUAAAAAGCACGUGAAAUUGUUGAAAGGGAAGCGCUUGCAGCCAGACUUGCCUGUAGUUGCUCAUCCGGGUUUUUACCCGGUGCACUCUUCUACGGGCAGGCCAGCAUCAGUUUGGGCGGUUGGAUAAAGGUCUCUGUCAUGUACCUCCUCUCGGGGAGAUCUUAUAGGGGAGACGACAUGCAACCAGCCUGGACUGAGGUCCGCGCAUCUGCUAGGAUGCUGGCGUAAUGGCUGUAAGCGG